rnacentral:rRNA from 1 species
AUACGGAGGAUGCGAGCGUUAUCCGGAUUUAUUGGGUUUAAAGGGUGCGUAGGCGGGCUGUCAAGUCUGUGGUGAAAAGUCAGGGCUUAACCUUGAUCGUGCCGCGGAAACUGACGGUCUUGAAUAGGGAUGCCGUUGGCGGCAUGUGGAGUGUAGCGGUGAAAUGCAUAGAUAUUCCACAGAACACCGAUUGCGAAGGCAGCUGACGAAUCCCAGAUUGACGCUGAUGCACUAAAGUGCGAGUAUCGAACAGGAGUAGAUUCGCUAGUAGUCCGCACAGUAAACGAUGAUAACGAAUUGUUGGCGAUAAACAGAUCUAUAACUGAUCGAAAGCGUUAAAUUAUCCGCCUGGGGAGUACGUCCGCAAGAGUGAAACUGAAAGGAAUUGACUGUG